rnacentral:tRNA from 1 species
GGUGUAUAGCUCAGUUGGGAGAGCAUCUGCCUUACAAGCAGGAGGUCCCAGGUUCAAGUCCUGGUGCGC